UCCAUACGCAUAUAUUAUGCUUCAAAGAGAGAUAAUAGAUACAAAUUUGACACCUUAACUUUCAACACUUAUAUCUCCUUCAAAAAAAACUUGAAAUCAUACAAACUCUUCAUCCAAAUUAUUUCCAAAACCUUGAACUUGUUGAUCCUAGCCUCCAAAGCUUAAAUAAAUUCAAAAGACAAACCUUAAUUGCUAAUAUAUUCUAAAACCAACUAAAUCUACUAACAUGGCU
rnacentral:lncRNA from 1 species